AGAUGGCUAGUCUCCUUUGUGGCUCUAAUCUGAUAGUGGUAGUGGGGUGGUAGAUGUCUAGUCUCCUUUAUGGCUCUAAUCUGAUAGUGGUAGUGGGGUGGUAGAUGUUGAGUCUACUUUAUGGCUCUAAUCUGAUAGUGGUAGUGGGUGGUAGUGGGGUGGUAGAUGUCUAGUCUCCUUUAUGGCUCUAAUCUGAUAGUGGUAGUGGGGUGGAAGAUGUCUAGUCUUCUUUAUGGCUCUAAUCUGAUACUGUUAGUGGGGUGGUUGAUGUCUAGUCUCCUUUAUGGCUCUAAUCUGAUAGUGGUAGUGGGGUG
ensembl:lncRNA